rnacentral:rRNA from 1 species
GAUGAACGCUGGCGGCGUGCCUAAUACAUGCAAGUCGAGCGAACAGAUAAGGAGCUGGCUCCUGUGACGUUAGCGACGGACGGGUGAGUAACACGUGGGUAACCUACCUAUAAGACUGGAAUAACUCCGGGAAACCGGGGCUAAUGCCGGAUAACAUUUAGAACCGCAUGGUUCUAAAGGGAAAGAUGGUUUUGCUAUCACUUAUAGAUGGAACCGCGCCGUAUUAGCUAGUUGGUAAGGUAACGGCUUACCAAGGCAACGAUACGUAGCCGACCUGAGAGGGUGAUCGGCCACACUGGAACUGAGACACGGUCCAGACUCCUACGGGAGGCAGCAGUAGGGAAUCUUGCGCAAUGGGCGAAAGCCUGACGGAGCAACGCCGCGUGAGUGAUGAAGGUCUUCGGAUCGUAAACCUCUGUUAUUCGGGAAGAACACAUGUGUACGUAACUGUGCACGUCUUGACGGUACCUAAUCAGAAAGCCACGGCUAACUACGUG